CCCGUGCGAGAGAAUUAAACUUCAUCAUGCUGUUAAGGAACGAAGGCCCAUCGGAAUAAGAAGAUAGCCCAACAGGGCAGCCCAGGUGGGGCGCCUAGGGUUGGGCGCGCGUGACCCCUUCGGACUCCAGGGGCUGCGCCCCCUUUAUUUAGUCCGAGUCCUUUUUGUUUACGACUUGAGUUUUGUUUUACAUCUAGCUUUAGCUACUCUUGAACACGCGCA
rnacentral:lncRNA from 1 species